AGCGAACGCUGGCGGCAGGCCUAACACAUGCAAGUCGAACGAACCUUUCGGGGUUAGUGGCGGACGGGUGAGUAACACGUGGGAACGUGCCUUUAGGUUCGGAAUAACUCAGGGAAACUUGUGCUAAUACCGAAUGUGCCCUUCGGGGGAAGAAUUUUCGCCUUUAGAGCGGCCCGCGUCUGAUUAGCUAGUUGGUUGAGGUAAUGGCUCACCAAGGGGACGAUCAGUAGCUGGUCUGAGAGGAUGAUCAGCCACAUUGGGACUGAGACACGGCCCAAACUCCUACGGGAGGCAGCAGUGGGGAAUCUUGCGCAAUGGGCGAAAGCCUGACGCAGCCAUGCCGCGUGAAUGAUGAAGGUCUUAGGAUUGUAAAAUUCUUUCACCGGGGACGAUAAUGACGGUACCCGGAGAAGAAGCCCCGGCUAACUUCGUG
rnacentral:rRNA from 1 species